rnacentral:rRNA from 1 species
AGGCAGCAGUGAGGAAUAUUGGUCAAUGGGCGCAAGCCUGAACCAGCCAUCCCGCGUGCAGGAAGACGGCGCUAUGCGUUGUAAACUGCUUUUCCAGAGGAAGAAAACCUGCUACGAGUAGCGGCUUGCCGGUACUCUGGGAAUAAGCAUCGGCUAACUCCGUGCCAGCAGCCGCGGUAAUACGGAGGAUGCAAGCGUUAUCCGGAUUUAUUGGGUUUAAAGGGUGCGUAGGCGGAUUAAUAAGUCAGUGGUGAAAACCUUCAGCUUAACUGGAGACUUGCCAUUGAUACUGUUAGUCUUGAGUACGGUCAAGGUAGGCGGAAUGUGUAAUGUAGCGGUGAAAUGCUUAGAUAUUACACAGAACACCGAUUGCGAAGGCAGCUUACUGGGCCAUUACUGACGCUGAGGCACGAAAGCGUGGGGAGCGAACAGGAUUAGAUACCCUGGUAG